UACGUAGGGGGCAAGCGUUGUCCGGAUUUAUUGGGCGUAAAGAGCGUGUAGGCGGCUUGACAGGUCUGCUGUGAAAACUCGAGGCUCAACCUCGAGAUGUCGGCGGAAACCGUCUGGCUAGAGUCCGGAAGAGGAGAGUGGAAUUCCUGGUGUAGCGGUGAAAUGCGCAGAUAUCAGGAAGAACACCUAUGGCGAAGGCAGGUCUCUGGGCAUUAACUGACGCUGAGGAGCGAAAGCAUGGGGAGCGAACAGG
rnacentral:rRNA from 1 species